UACGAACUGUGCGAACGUUAUUCGGAAUCACUGGGCUUAAAGGGUGCGUAGGCGGCGUCUCAAGUCAGGUGUGAAAUCCCCCGGCUCAACCGGGGAACUGCGCUUGAAACUAGGAUGCUCGAGUGAGGCAGGGGUGCAUGGAACUUCCGGUGGAGCGGUGAAAUGUGUAGAUAUCGGAAGGAACGCCGGCGGCGAAAGCGGUGCACUGGGCCUUGUCUGACGCUGAGGCACGAAAGCUAGGGGAGUGAACGGG
rnacentral:rRNA from 1 species